CUUUUGAUUUCAGGUGCCUCCAUUAUUUAUUUAAUUUGGCUUGGCUUUUUUAUCUGCAGUUAUACACUUCUUACUGCAACUAAGUAAAUGAACUUAUCAUGGGCAUGAAAUUAUCAUUGCCUCUAUGAAGUUUCAGCACUAUGUGAAAAGAGUCUCAGCUUUUGAAGUUAAAACUUUCAGAAAAUAUGAAGAUGAAAACAAAUAUUCUCCAAUACUAAUAGGACAGAACAAGAUUAAUUUUCAAUUUCCUACAUGUCCUACAGAAAAAUCAUGGCCUUGGUAUUACUCACUACAGACUGUGUGUUUUCAGAGGAUUUUCAUUAUACAAGUAGGUCACUGGUAACCUCAAAGUGUGUGUGCCGAUAUAAUGUUGUUGUGUGAAUGCAGAACGGAAUUGCUUUUAAAGAUAUGCAGUUUUGCUGAAGGGUUUUGGAGAAAAUUAUGAAAUUAUAUUAUACUACUUUACUGUGUGGUACACUGUCUUCAUACUCCAUCUCCAUUAGUGAAAAAAGCAAAUGGCCAGCACGGUAAUAUCUGUAUCAGCUAAAACUAAUGUUUUGUUCAUUAAACUAAUUUUCAACUUCACUUGCUUAUUUUCAUCAAGG
rnacentral:lncRNA from 1 species